CCUACGGGUGGCAGCAGUGGGGAAUAUUGGACAAUGGGCGAAAGCCUGAUCCAGCCAUGCCGCGUGUGUGAAGAAGGCCUUCGGGUUGUAAAGCACUUUCAGUGGGGAAGAAAGCCUUGGGGCUAAUACCCUCGAGGAAGGACAUCACCCACAGAAGAAGCACCGGCUAACUCCGUGCCAGCAGCCGCGGUAAUACGGAGGGUGCGAGCGUUAAUCGGAAUUACUGGGCGUAAAGCGCGCGUAGGCGGUCUGAUAAGCCGGUUGUGAAAGCCCCGGGCUCAACCUGGGAACGGCAUCCGGAACUGUCAGGCUAGAGUGCAGGAGAGGAAGGUAGAAUUCCCGGUGUAGCGGUGAAAUGCGUAGAGAUCGGGAGGAAUACCAGUGGCGAAGGCGGCCUUCUGGACUGACACUGACGCUGAGGUGCGAAAGCGUGGGUAGCAAACAGGAGUAGAUACCCUGGUAGUC
rnacentral:rRNA from 1 species